rnacentral:rRNA from 1 species
GACGAACGCUGGCGGCGCGCCUAAUACAUGCAAGUCGAACGAGCACGGACUUCGGUCCACAUGUGCGAGUGGCGAACGGGUGAGUAACACGUGAGAAACCUGCCUCGGAGACCGGGACAACCAUUGGAAACGAUGGCUAAUACCGGAUGUCCUCUUUUGGUCGCAUGGCCAGCUGAGGAAAUGAUCCGUCGCUCCGGGAGGGUCUCGCGGCCUAUCAGCUUGUUGGUGAGGUAACGGCUCACCAAGGCAUCGACGGGUAGCUGGUCUGAGAGGACGAUCAGCCACACUGGGACUGAGACACGGCCCAGACUCCUACGGGAGGCAGCAGUAGGGAAUCUUGCACAAUGGGCGAAAGCCUGAUGCAGCGACGCCGCGUGGGGGAUGAAGGCCCUAGGGUUGUAAACCCCUUUCAGUAGGGACGAAAAUGACGGUACCUACAGAAGAAGCUCCGGCCAACUACGUGCCAGCCGCCGCCGUAACAC